UACGUAGGUGGCAAGCGUUGUCCGGAUUUACUGGGCGUAAAGGGAACGCAGGCGGUCUUUUAAGUCUGAUGUGAAAGCCUUCGGCUUAACCGGAGUAGUGCAUUGGAAACUGGGAGACUUGAGUGCAGAAGAGGAGAGUGGAACUCCAUGUGUAGCGGUGAAAUGCGUAGAUAUAUGGAAGAACACCAGUGGCGAAAGCGGCUCUCUGGUCUGUAACUGACGCUGAGGUUCGAAAGCGUGGGUAGCAAACAGG
rnacentral:rRNA from 1 species